rnacentral:rRNA from 1 species
GCCGGAGGAUGCAAGCGUUAUCCGGAAUGAUUGGGCGUAAAGCGUCCGCAGGUGGCAGUUCAAGUCUGCUGUCAAAGACCGGGGCUUAACUUCGGAAAGGCAGUGGAAACUGAACAGCUAGAGUAUGGUAGGGGCAGAGGGAAUUCCUGGUGUAGCGGUGAAAUGCGUAGAGAUCAGGAAGAACAUCGGUGGCGAAGGCGCUCUGCUGGACCAUAACUGACACUCAGGGACGAAAGCUAGGGGAGCGAAUGGG